UAAAUGCAUUCUUCUGGUAUCGUC
rnacentral:miRNA from 2 species